AACGCUGUCAAUAAAUUUUUUUUCGAAAGAAAAAUCUGUUCUUAUCAGUUUAAUAUCUGAUACGUGCCCUACCCGGGCACUAUAUAUUAAAUUGAUUUUUGCAGCUGGGAGAUGGGUUAGGGGCUUGCUCCACCCACUCCACGCAUCGACCUGGUAUUGCAGUACCUCCGGGAACGGUGCACUCAUU
rfam:Danio rerio chromosome 2, GRCz11 reference primary assembly.